rnacentral:rRNA from 1 species
CCUACGGGGUGCUGCAGUGGGGAAUAUUGGACAAUGGGCGAAAGCCUGAUCCAGCCAUGCCGCGUGUGUGAAGAAGGCCUUCGGGUUGUAAAGCACUUUCAGUGGGGAAGAAAGCCUUGGGGCUAAUACCCUCGAGGAAGGACAUCACCCACAGAAGAAGCACCGGCUAACUCCGUGCCAGCAGCCGCGGUAAUACGGAGGGUGCGAGCGUUAAUCGGAAUUACUGGGCGUAAAGCGCGCGUAGGCGGUCUGAUAAGCCGGUUGUGAAAGCCCCGGGCUCAACCUGGGAACGGCAUCCGGAACUGUCAGGAUAGAGUGCAGGAGAGGAAGGUAGAAUUCCCGGGGUAGCGGUGAAAUGCGUAGAGAUCGGGAGGAAUACCAGUGGCGAAGGCGGCCUUCUGGACUGACACUGACGCUGAGGUGCGAAAGCGUGGGUAGCAAACAGGAUUAGAUACCCGAGUAGUC